AUUGAACGCUGGCGGCAGGCCUAACACAUGCAAGUCGAGCGGAUGAAGGGAGCUUGCUCCUGGAUUCAGCGGCGGACGGGUGAGUAAUGCCUAGGAAUCUGCCUGGUAGUGGGGGAUAACGUCCGGAAACGGGCGCUAAUACCGCAUACGUCCUGAGGGAGAAAGUGGGGGAUCUUCGGACCUCACGCUAUCAGAUGAGCCUAGGUCGGAUUAGCUAGUUGGUGGGGUAAAGGCCUACCAAGGCGACGAUCCGUAACUGGUCUGAGAGGAUGAUCAGUCACACUGGAACUGAGACACGGUCCAGACUCCUACGGGAGGCAGCAGUGGGGAAUAUUGGAAAAUGGGCGAAAGCCUGAUCCAGCCAUGCCGCGUGUGUGAAGAAGGUCUUCGGAUUGUAAAGCACUUUAAGUUGGGAGGAAGGGCAGUAAGUUAAUACCUUGCUGUUUUGACGUUACCAACAGAAUAAGCACCGGCUAACUUCG
rnacentral:rRNA from 1 species